rnacentral:tRNA from 1 species
GGCGUCGUAGCUCAGGCGGUAGAGCAGAGGACUGAAAAUCCUUGUGUCGGUGGUUCAACUCCACCCGAUGCCA